ensembl:miRNA
UGGGUUGGCUUGAAAGUUUGUUCGGGAUUUUCAAUAAUAGCUUACGAAAAACCAGAACAAAUUUUUUGGCCAGCUCA